rnacentral:rRNA from 1 species
UACGGGGGGGGCAAGCGUUGUUCGGAAUUACUGGGCGUAAAGGGCUCGUAGGCGGCCAACUAAGUCAGACGUGAAAUCCCUCGGCUUAACCGGGGAACUGCAUCUGAUACUGGAUGGCUUGAGUUCGGGAGAGGGAUGUGGAAUUCCAGGUGUAGCGGUGAAAUGCGUAGAUAUCGGGAGGAACACCAGUGGCGAAGGCGACUUCCUGGCCUGUUCUUGACGCUGAGGCGCGAAAGCUAGGGUAGCAAACGGGG